AACGAACGCUGGCGGCAUGCCUAACACAUGCAAGUCGAACGAGACCUUCGGGUCUAGUGGCGCACGGGUGCGUAACGCGUGGGAACCUGCCCUUAGGUUCGGAAUAACUCCCCGAAAGGGGUGCUAAUACCGGAUAAUGUCUUCGGACCAAAGAUUUAUCGCCUUUGGAUGGGCCCGCGUUGGAUUAGCUAGUUGGUAGGGUAAAAGCCUACCAAGGCGACGAUCCAUAGCUGGUCUGAGAGGAUGAUCAGCCACACUGGGACUGAGACACGGCCCAGACUACUACGGGAGGCAGCAGUGGGGAAUAUUGGAAAAUGGGCGAAAGCCUGAUCCAGCAAUGCCGCGUGAGUGAUGAAGGCCUUAGGGUUGUAAAGCUCUUUUACCCGGGAUGAUAAUGACAGUACCGGGAGAAUAAGCGCCGGCUAACUCCGUG
rnacentral:rRNA from 1 species